rnacentral:pre_miRNA from 1 species
GACAUUGAAGAAAAAAAUUAAGAUAACGUUUUGCUCAUCUUCAUUUUUUUCUCCAUUGUCCU